rnacentral:rRNA from 1 species
UACGUAGGGGGGCAAGCGUUGUCCGGAUUUAUUGGGCGUAAAGAGCGUGUAGGCGGCUUUACAGGUCCGUUGUGAAAACUCGAGGCUCAACCUCGAGACGCCGGUGGAAACCGUAAAGCUAGAGUCCGGAAGAGGAGAGUGGAAUUCCUGGUGUAGCGGUGAAAUGCGCAGAUAUCAGGAGGAACACCCGUGGCGAAAGCGGCUCUCUGGGACGGUACUGACGCUGAGACGCGAAAGCGUGGGGAGCAAACAGG